UGAUGCAGCUGGUCUGCUGGUUCCGCACCACACGGCGCCAGUAUCGAGUGAUGCUAGCUCAGCAUCGCGAGAGGGAACCCGGUGAGAAUCCGGGACUGUCCCGCAGCGGUAUGCAGGAACGACCGCCGUCUGGAAGCACUGGUCUUAGAAAAAUCCGAGACUGGGAAGCGAUGGCCAUUAGAAGCACCUAUCCAGUGCGCGCCUGCGAGUCCGAAGACCUGCCGGCUGUGUCGGGCGCGC
rfam:Mycobacterium leprae TN, complete genome